AUUGAACGCUGGCGGCAGGCCUAACACAUGCAAGUCGAGCGAGCGGCGGACGGGUGAGUAAUGUCUGGGAAACUGCCUGAUGGAGGGGGAUAACUACUGGAAACGGUAGCUAAUACCGCAUACCAUCAGAUGUUCCCAGAUGGGAUUAGCUAGUAGGUGGGUUAACGGCUCACUUAGGCGACGAUCGCUAGCUGGUCUGAGAGGAUGACCAGCACAACUGGAAUGGAGAAACGGCCCAGAUCCCUACGGGAGGAAGAAGGGGGGAAUAUUGCACAAGGGGGGAAAGCCGGAUGCGGAACGGCCGCGUGGGGGAAGAAGGCCUUCGGGUGGUAAAGCACUUUCAGCGGGGAGACGUUACCCGAAUAAGAAGCAACGGCUAACUCCGUGCCAGCAGCCGCGGUAAUAC
rnacentral:rRNA from 1 species